rnacentral:rRNA from 1 species
CCUACGGGGGGCAGCAGGCGCGAAACCUCCGCAAUGUGAGAAAUCGCGACGGGGGGAUCCCAAGUGCCAUUCUUAACGGGAUGGCUUUUCUUUAGUGUAAAAAGCUUUUGGAAUAAGAGCUGGGCAAGACCGGUGCCAGCCGCCGCGGUAACACCGGCAGCUCUAGUGGUAGCAAUUUUUAUUGGGCCUAAAGCGUCCGUAGCCGGUUUAAUAAGUCUCUGGUGAAAUCCUGUAGCUUAACUGUGGGAAUUGCUGGAGAUACUAUUAGACUUGAGACCGGGAGAGGUUAGAGGUACUCCCAGGGUAGAGGUGAAAUUCUGUAAUCCUGGGAGGACCGCCUGUUGCGAAGGCGUCUAACUGGAACGGUUCUGACGGUGAGGGACGAAAGUUAGGGGCGCGAACCGGAUUAGAUACCCGCGUAGUCC